AUUGAGGGCAGGAAAUUUGGAGCUACUGUCACAGUGCUUUCUACCACCUCCUCUGGCUUUUAGGGUGUCCAAGAUAAAAUAAGAAGGGACCCUGUUUUCUCAUAGUUGCAUUUUUCUAGUGGAGGCUCUACCUCUUAUCUGGUCUUUAAAAGAGAAGAAAAGACUAACCUCUUGGGAAGGUUGAUUUUGGCUUCUGCCCAAUAACCCAAAUCCAUGAACACUCUCCCACCUUCUGAAGUUGUAUCUCUAAUUUUUUCAUAGACAUUUUAAUAGGGUUUUCACUUCCCUACCAUUAGUUUAUAUUUAAUAUCAAGUUAAUGAACUACAUUUGUAGGAUCUUUAUCCCAAGUCUGUAUUCCUCAAUUUUUUACAGACUUUAUGCUUUCGGGUAAUCAUUUCAAGUUUCAUCAUUUUUCAAUAUAUCCCACAAGCAAUUUGUGACUUGGCUCUAUCAGCUUGAAGUAAUUAGAAAUUCACUUGCACUAUUGAGGACUUGCAUCUGUAAAAGGAAGAAAUAUUUUCUGGAAAAAUGGAUUUGCAAAAUGAAGGCACUUUGGCUUGUUCUGUCUUGAUAAAUCAGUUGUCUAGGCAGUGGGCAAGGAGGACCCAUUGGAUGGUUACAAAUUUAAGGAACUGACUCAGCGCAAGAAGACAGCUUCGACUCCCUAUGAUUUUAUCUCUGACCAAUCGGCACUCCUGGCUCACUGGCUUCCCCCACCCACCAAGUUAUCCUUAAAAAUUCUGCUCCCCCAGUGCUCAGGGACACUGAUUUAAGUAAUAAUAAAACCCCGGUCUCCCGCA
rnacentral:lncRNA from 1 species